rnacentral:lncRNA from 1 species
UCGAAUCACGCCACGUGUGAAAAAGGAGGUGCAGACUUUUUGAGAUGUUCUUGCAGUUUUAUUUAGGAAUAGUAAUUAAAUAGCCAUCUUCCUCUGGAAUCCAUAGCCCAAAAAAAAAGGCAGGAGUUGUUUUUAGAUCAUAUUGUUCAAUUAUUCUUCUUCUAAGAUGGUGGCGGUGGCCGGUGGAUAUAACUUUUUGCCAAGUAACGCUAUAAAGAAAGAAAAGUAUAAUAGUAGCAUCUAAUAGUGACUGUGAAGUAACAUGCCAACAUCCAAUUGGGUGUGAAAUGAAAUGAAAUGAAAUGCUAUUUCUGGAUCUUUCUUCUUAAUUCUCUCCACCAAUUAUACUCUCCCUUCCUUCUAUUGUGUGUAUAUAAAUAUACGUCAAACCCUUGUAUUCAAACCUAAAUCCAAGUUCUCUGUCUUCCAAGCAAUAUUUUUUUUUGGGUCUAUCUGGUUUUUGCAAAGGGUGUUAAUUAAUCUUGCUAAGAUGAGUGAGAUCAAAUAUGGCUAUCCAUAUCCAGCUCAAGGUAGGUUUCAGUUUUCAGCCUUCAAAUUAUGCUCAAUCCUGGCCUUCUUACCAUAUGGUCUUUUGAAUUUCAUUAAUCCUCUUUCUUCUUUGUAUGGCAGAUAAUAAAAGAAGUUAUUUAGUUGCUAGUUGAUCAUUUUUUGUCCCCUGCAUAUGUCAUUGCCUGAAUAUGAAACAUUUUUUAAUUUGUAUUUUUGUCAAUUAUUACUGAAUAGUUGUUGUUGUUGUCCCACACAGGUCCUUAUCAGGGGCCGCCUCCGGUGGCAGCACCUCCACAGUACUAUGCUGCUCCACCGCCUAGAAGAGAACCAGGUUUCCUUGAGGGAUGGUAAGCUAUUGCAUAGGAAAGGAUUUGCUCUUCAAAUUAACCAAAAGUAACAUUAAGUUUUGGUUUAAAUUUUUUUUAGCUCUUCAAAUUUGAGCUUAAUCUCAAAAUUAAAAAUGACUAUUUUCCUUUUUUUAAUUUGAAAAUAAUUUACUUUUAAUUCUUACAAUCAUUUUUUUAUCAUUUUAGUCUUAAAAUAAGGAUCAAAAGUAAACUAUUUCUAAAUUGAAAAUAAUUAUUUUUAAAAUAAACUAGAACCAAAUUUAAGAGAGAAAAAGAUAUUUAACCCUAAGAUUUUUACUUUUGAUUCUACCAUAGAUAUUCUUUUCUUGUUCAAUGCUCCUCUUAACUUUGUCUUUGUUUUUUCCCCAAUUGGCAGCCUAGCGGCUUUGUGUUGCUGUUGCCUCUUGGACGAGUGCUGCUGUGACCCAACUAUUGUUUUUGCUAGCUAAUGCUAAUGCUAUGACUUUACCAUACAGGGAAAGACACUUAUUGUAACAAUAUUUUGAUUUAACAGUUGCUAUUGUUUAGUGGAUCCCAUCAAAUUAUUACGCAUGAAUGAGUAGUAAUCAAUAUGUUGUUUUUUUCAUCUUGUAUUGUUAUAUUUAAAUGAGUAUUUUCCUUUGGUCAUGUCCUUGUUCUUUUUAAAAUAAAAUACAGCAUCAUUAUUGAACAUCUGGUACAAUCUUAAAAAAAAUAGUACACAUAAAAUUAUGCAUAAUUAUGUUUUGUCAUUCACUUGUUUUUUUUAUCAUAUAUAUAUAUAUAAGAAAAAUCUUCUAGCAACAAAGAAAAUUAGAAAAACAAUCCUCUACUUUAAUUAUUCAAAAACAUUUUCCAAUAAAAUAAAAUGGAAAGACUUGAUGGAUGAAAGUUUUGGUGAUAAAGCUUGAAAAGAUAAGUAUUGUUAAAAACCUUGUUCUUUUACCCUUUCCUUCCUUGGAUACGUGUACAUAACAGGGUUGUAAACCUAUGUAAUGAACGAAAAAUAUCCAAUAAACUUUGUUCUGUUAUUGCGUUUGAGGAAGGAUUCGCGUGAGACUAUUUUUUUAGUUGAG